rnacentral:rRNA from 1 species
GUGGAUUAGAUACCCUGGUAGUCCACGCCGUAAACGAUGAUCACUAGUUGUUGGCGAUAUACAGUCAGCGACUGAGCGAAAGCAUUAAGUGAUCCACCUGGGGAGUACGACGGCAACGUUGAAACUCAAAGGAAUUGACGGGGGCCCGCACAAGCGGAGGAACAUGUGGUUUAAUUCGAUGAUACGCGAGGAACCUUACCUGGGCUUGAAAGGGGAUUGACUUCUGCCGAAAGGUGGAUUCUCUUCGGAGCAGUCUCCUAGGUGCUGCAUGGUUGUCGUCAGCU